rnacentral:rRNA from 1 species
UACGUAGGGGGCAAGCGUUGUCCGGAAUCAUUGGGCGUAAAGCGCGUGUAGGCGGCCCGGUAAGUCCGCUGUGAAAGUCCAGGGCUCAACCCUGGGAUGCCGGUGGAUACUGUCGGGCUCGAGUCCGGAAGAGGCGAGUGGAAUUCCUGGUGUAGCGGUGAAAUGCGCAGAUAUCAGGAAGAACACCCGUGGCGAAGGCGGCUUCCUGGGCCACAUCUGACGCUGAGACGCGAAAGCGUGGGGAGCGAACGGG